GUAUAACAAAGAUGAUGAUUUCCACACUUCAAUCAAGAAUGUCCUUAUCAACAACUUUGUAAGACUAUGGCAAAUUAUAUUCAAAACUGAAGAGAAUAUAUUCAAAAACUUUUCAGUAAUGUAUGCAAAGGUUCCAAAGCAAGCCAACGCUGACGAUUGCGGAGUGUUCACUAUGAAAUUUAUGGAGAUUUUCAAACCAGAGGUGGACACAUGCUCAUUAUUUUCCAAAGAAGAUAUUAUUCAUAUCAGGAUUCAGUUUGCCAACCAGAUCUAUUUCUGCAAAAGGAACAAUGUGGAUAAAUCAGUUGUUGUCAACUACAAGA